rnacentral:rRNA from 1 species
UACGUAGGUGGCAAGCGUUGUCCGGAUUUACUGGGCGUAAAGAGCGCGCAGGCGGUCAGAUAAGUCGAAUGUGAAAGCCCCCGGCUCAACUGGGGAGGGUCAUUCGAUACUGUUCGACUCGAAGGCAGGAGAGGGAAGCGGAAUUCCCGGUGUAGUGGUGAAAUGCGUAGAUAUCGGGAGGAACACCAGUGGCGAAGGCGGCUUCCUGGCCUGUUCUUGACGCUGAGGCGCGAAAGCCAGGGGAGCAAACGGG